UCCAGAACGCCGAUGGGGGGAGGCGGUGAGGAGCCGUCGAGGAGAGAUGGCCCGUCCUGCCAGUCGGCGUGUUCCCAUAGAACCUGCCUCAAGGUUUCCGCGGCUCUGAGGGCUCUUCAUAUGGUGAGAACCGAAGGGAGAAUCCUUGUUCUUCCCUGUUCACCUUCCUAAGAUACCUUCUGCUUGUGUAGAGACGUUGUGUCCAAGAUGCGAGAAAUUCCCUGGCUUGUUUCCCCUGCUCUCUGUAUAUCCUCCUAGCAGCCAGAGAAGAGGUUUGCUUUGAUUUGGGAGUCCAUUACACCAUGAUAACAAGAUUGCUUCAAGGAACAU